CAAGAAGCCGAAAGGCUACUUAAAACCAUCGCGAACUUAUCCAAGUUGCUUCGGCGGCGCGGCUCCCCUCACGGGGGACCGCAAGCCCCCGCCUCUCAGGAGGUAAGGGGCAGCCGCCGGAGGUACGAAACUCUGUAUUAUAGUGGUAUCUCUGAGUAUAAAACAAAUAAGUUA
rnacentral:misc_RNA from 1 species